GGAUAGGACUAAGACAUGCUAGUCGAGCGCCUCCCAGCUACGACGGAGGCGCGGCGCACAGCUCAGUAACGCGUGGCUAACCUGCCCUCGGGACGGGAAUACCCCCGGGAAACUGGGGCUAAUCCCCGAUAGGUGAAGAACUCUGGAAUGAGUCUCCGCCCAAAAGACGCUUAAAUCAUGCUUUUAGGCGCCGCCCAAGGAUGGGGCCGCGACCGAUCAGGUAGUUGGUGAGGCAACGGCUCACCAAGCCUUUAACCGGUGCGGGCCGUGAGAGCGGGAGCCCGGAGAUGGGCACUGAGACAAGGGCCCAGGCCCUACGGGGCGCAGCAGUCGCGAAAACUUUGCAAUACACGAAAGUGUGACAGGGCUAUCCCGAGUGCCAUCCGCUGAGGAAGGCUUUUACCCAGUGUAGAAAGCUGGGAGAAUAAGGAGAGGGCAAGACUGGUGUCAGCCGCCGCGGUAAUACCAGCUCUCCGAGUGGUGUGGAUGUUUAUUGGGCCUAAAGCAUCCGUAGCUGGCCAAGUUAGUCCCCUGCUUAAUCCACCGAAUUAAUCGUUGGAGUGCGGGGGAUACUGCU
rnacentral:rRNA from 1 species